AAAUGUUGUAACCUUCUCACUAAACUGCUGAGCGAUGGUCUUGUAGCCCAUUCCAGCCUUGUAAUAGGUCUACAAUCUUGUCCCUGACAUCCUUAGACAGCUCUUUGGUCUUGACCAUGGUGGAGAGUUUGGAAUCUGAUUGAUUGAUUGCUUUUGUGAACAUGUGUCUUUUAUACAGGUAACAAGCAGAGAUCAGGAGCACUACCUUUAAGAGAGUGCUCCUACUCUCAUCUCGUUACCUGUAUAAAAGACACCUGGGAGCCAGAAAUCUUG